CCAGACUCCUACGGGAGGCAGCAGUGGGGAAUAUUGCACAAUGGGGGGAACCCUGAUGCAGCGACGCCGCGUGAAGGAAGAAGUAUCUCGGUAUGUAAACUUCUAUCAGCAGGGAAGAAAGAGGACGGUACCUGACUAAGAAGCCCCGGCUAACUACGUGCCAGCAGCCGCGGUAAUACGUAGGGGGCGAGCGUUAUCCGGAUUUACUGGGUGUAAAGGGAGCGUAGACGGCCAUGCAAGCUCGGUGUGAAAGGUGCGGGCACAACCCGCAGACUGCUCUGAGAACUGUAUGGCUGGAGUGCCGGAGGGGCAGGCGGAAUUCCUGGUGUAGCGGUGAAAUGCGUAGAUAUCACGCAGAACUCCGAUUGCGAAGGCAGCGCACCGGCGCCCUACUGACGCUCAGGCACGAAAGCGUGGGUAUCGAACAGGAUUAGAUACCCUAGUA
rnacentral:rRNA from 1 species